AGGGAAUCUUCGGCAAUGGACGAAAGUCUGACCGAGCAACGCCGCGUGAGUGAAGAAGGUUUUCGGAUCGUAAAACUCUGUUGUUAGAGAAGAACAAGGAUGAGAGUAAAACGUUCAUCCCUUGACGGUAUCUAACCAGAAAGCCACGGCUAACUACGUGCCAGCAGCCGCGGUAAUACGUAGGUGGCAAGCGUUGUCCGGAUUUAUUGGGCGUAAAGCGAGCGCAGGCGGUUUCUUAAGUCUGAUGUGAAAGCCCCCGGCUCAACCGGGGAGGGUCACUGGAAACUGGGAGACUUGAGUGCAGAAGAGGAGAGUGGAAUUCCAUGUGUAGCGGUGAAAUGCGUAGAUAUAUGGAGGAACACCAGUGGCGAAGGCGGCUCUCUGGGCCGAGACCGACGCUGAGGCGCGAAAGCUGGGGGAGCGAAC
rnacentral:rRNA from 1 species